rnacentral:rRNA from 1 species
AUUGCAGGCUGCAACUCGCCUGCACGAAGCCGGAGUUGCUAGUAAUCGCGAAUCAGAAUGUCGCGGUGAAUGCGUUCCCGGGUCUUGUACACACCGCCCGUCACACCAUGGAAGUUGGGGGUGCCCAAAGCCGGCAAGCAAAUAUGCUGUCUAAGGCAAAACCAAUGACUGGGGUGAAGUCGUAACAAGGUAGC